rnacentral:rRNA from 1 species
UACGGAGGGUGCGAACGUUACUCGGAAUCACUGGGCGUAAAGCGCGCGUAGGCGGUUUGUUAAGUGGGAUGUGAAAUCCCCGGGCUUAACCUGGGAAUUGCAUUUCAAACUGGCCGACUAGAGUACGGUAGAGGGAGGUAGAAUUUCCUGUGUAGCGGUGAAAUGCGUAGAUAUAGGAAGGAAUACCAGUGGCGAAGGCGGCCUCCUGGAUCGAUACUGACGCUGAGGCGCGAAAGCGUGGGGAGCAAACAGG